rnacentral:rRNA from 1 species
GACGAACGCUGGCGGCGUGCUUAACACAUGCAAGUCGAACGGAAAGGCCCUGCUUUUGUGGGGUGCUCGAGUGGCGAACGGGUGAGUAACACGUGAGUAACCUGCCCUUGACUUUGGGAUAACAUCAGGAAACUGGGGCUAAUACCGGAUAGGAGCUCCUGCUGCAUGGUGGGGGUUGGAAAGUUUCGGCGGUUGGGGAUGGACUCGCGGCUUAUCAGCUUGUUGGUGGGGUAGUGGCUUACCAAGGCUUUGACGGGUAGCCGGCCUGAGAGGGUGACCGGCCACAUUGGGACUGAGAUACGGCCCAGACUCCUACGGGAGGCAGCAGUGGGGAAUAUUGCACAAUGGGAGGAAGCCUGAUGCAGCAACGCCGCGUGCGGGAUGACGGCCUUCGGGUUGUAAACCGCUUUCGCCUGUGACGAAGCGUGAGUGACGGUAAUGGGUAAAGAAGCACCGGCUAACUACGUG